UAUAAAAAAAACUACAUAUGUUGUUCAUGUGACGGCUUGUUUAUCUAUUCAAGAGUUUUUCCAGCUCUUCACAAGACUUUACACGAACAGACAACGGGGAACAGUAUUAUUCAAUACAUCACAGUUAAAGGGGCAUUAGAGUAAAAUGAAAACGUGGACGUCAGGUUAGGGCUCCGAGAUCAUUUCGAUGGAAAAACGUUUCUAAAAUGCCUUAUAAAUUACAUUUGAGAUACAAAAAUGGAGAGAAUACUCGAGAGAAAGGGAUGGUGUUGCCGAGGAAGGUCGGGGUCCGCAUCGAUCCGCCGGCUGUCAUCCUUGUCUACGACGUUUGGGGCAAGAUGAGGAUGAGGACGAUGCCCGUCCGCAACGUCUGGGAUUCUACAAGCUCUGCUUUCAUCCUGGAGGAUCUCAAGUCACGCCACGAUGUCCUCAACUCCGUCCCAGAUUCGACGAUCCUCAAGAUGAUCGAGGUGUUGAAAAGAGUCAAAAAAGGAGACUCGCUCCAAGACGCCCUGAAGACAAUAGGCAGUGGAGAUUUCGACGAGAAAAACAAAGAAUUGACGCCGAACGUCACCAAAGAUAAAACCCUGGAGGAUCAGGGGACCAGGUCCAACGAUGAGGACACCGACUUCGAACUAGAGGAGGAACUACCUUUAGACGACCUAUCAGAUGAUUUCUGAAAUAUCUUUGGAAGGAUAAAACAUGUUUCCCAAGUGUUGUGGAUAAAUAACCUCUCCAGUUAAUCUUAACCGGAACUUGAAACCGGCCGUGAUGACGAAAGGCACAAAAUUUUGAAACGCACAUCGCAGAGGAGACUCGGGGUUUUCCUAGUGGUUCGGCCGAUUUGUACGACAAUGUAUCUCGUUUCCGUGUGUUUGUCUGCAGCCCUAUUAACGAUUAGACAAUAUAUUUCUUCGUUUUAAAAAAA